AAAGUGUCACUGGCUCAAAUAUAUCAUUGCCAUACAACCCCCAAAAAUUAUAUGUUAGAACACCAAAUUAAACCCGUCGGCCCCAAGUGGCUUAUCUAGAUGCAUGUGAGUAAGGGUUGUGAACAAUUCAUCUUUGGUAAUAGGCGUGAGAAGCUGAUCAUUAUCUUCUCUGGUAAUUCUUUAUUGGAUAUUAGCUAGAAUCGGAUCAUGAGUAACAUCUUUCGCGGUAAAAAGUUUGUUGAAAUACUCCUCAGCAGCUUCAC
rnacentral:lncRNA from 1 species